UUUAGUGAACGGACGUGUUGUGCGAUACUAUUUUCAGCACUAACGGGCUUUUACACGAUAUUAAUAUCAGAAAGGUAGCAUUUACAUAUGGAGAUACAUAUCGUCCAUAUGCAUACAGCAGUAGUACAAGUGUAUGGUUAGAAUACGCAUACGCUCUAGGAAACCACGCGUGUUAAAUGGAAAUGAAGGUUCAUUUAUACUGGCAUGUAUACACAGCAGCAAGCUCAUGCCACCAACAGCGAUGUCGUAUGCAUAACAUUUCUACUGGGUAUACUUACUUGCUUAUACUCAUACAAAUACAUACCAUUAAGUCCACAAUAGUCGGAGCAACAUUAGCACAAAUGCCAAUGCUUUUCAAAAAAGCAAAUCAGUCAUUAUUCUUACGGCAAACGCUGAAGAACACGGUGUGCCUAAGUCAAACGGUUUUAUGUAGCAGAAACGUCCAGUUUUACUAAUCUCAUCGCAUUUAAGACAAUCACAUGCAGUACAGAAAUUGUAAAUACGCAAUUUUGUAUAUAAACUGAACAGAAGGAGUACACAUACUUAUGUACGCAUGUAUAUUUAGUUAAAAAGUACAAUCAUGCGAAUAAAUACUAUUUACAAGUAUAAAUAAUCGUAAAAAAACACAAUUUUUUGCUGCGAACUCUUCUAAACUAUAUUUAAUUAGUUAAAAAAACAUAGCCACAUAUGUAUGUAUGUAUAUAUAAAUGGAAGUAUUAAAACAACAAAUCGCUCUAUAUAUAUUAAAACGUGCAAAGACUAAAGGAGAUUUUCACAGCUAUUGGAGGAGAAUGUAAUACAAUAAAUUUAUUCGGCUUCGAGUUUUUCAAUCACCUUUUAACUGGCGGAUAGCUAUUCCAGUGCAUUUAUAGAAAAGUGGCGACAUGAUGAAAGCAAGUUAGCGACAAUAACUUAUGAUAGAAAAGGGCAACGAGUAGCUUGGCUGAAUUGAUUGAUUGUCAUAAAAUAUAAGCUUUGUAUGUUUACGUACUAUUUUAUGAUAGUUCGUAACAAUUCUUACAAAUUAUCAUCAGAAGGAGUUGAGAGAGGAAAACUUUGAGAGGACGUUGCAAGGUUUUACUGGAUAAAUUCUUACUUGUAACAAUUUUCCAUCAAGAAAAACGGCUCUUAUAUGCUGCUUCUUGCAUUUUACAAAAGCAAAGGAAUUAACUUUUGGAAUUGUAAAGUUAAAAUUGCCAAAAUAAAAAUUUUAAUUAAAAUUUCAUAAAACUAGUAACUGCUGGCAAAGUUUGCGUUUUCUUACUUUUUAGAUAGAUAGUUCUCUCAAUGAGAGCGACUCCUGGAAACUAUGUUAUUUGCAAUAUAAUGGAUAUUUUUUAACUGGAGAAUACACUAACGGAUGUUAUUGAAAUGUUUGUGCAUUUCUUUAGCACUUAAAAUCUAAUUUUUGUAGUAGAAAUCACUUUGUUACAAUAGGGGGCUAAUUUCGGAUAAUUUGCUUUCGAAGAGAGAAU